rnacentral:rRNA from 1 species
GAUAAACGCUGGCGGCGUGCCUAAUGCAUGCAAGUCGCACGGAUCACCCUUUCGGGGGUGGUGAGUGGCGAACGGGUGAGGAACGCGUGGACAACCUACCCCGGCGAGGGGGAUACCCGCCAGAAAUGGCGGCUAAUACCGCGUACGGUUGCUUGGCGAGAGGCUGGGCAAAGAAAGCAGUAAUGCGCGCUGGGAGGGGUCUGCGGCCGAUUAGCUGGUUGGCGGGGUAUGGCCCACCAAGGCGAUGAUCGGUAGCUGGUCUGAGAGGAUGAUCAGCCACACGGGGACUGAGACACGGCCCCGACUCCUACGGGAGGCAGCAGUGGGGGAAUAUUGCGCAAAUGGGCGGAAGCCUGACGCAGCGACGCCGCGUGAGGGAUGACGGCCUGGUGU